GAUGAACGCUGGCGGCGUGCCUAAUACAUGCAAGUCGAGCGAACGGACGAGAAGCUUGCUUCUCUGAUGUUAGCGGCGGACGGGUGAGUAACACGUGGAUAACCUACCUAUAAGACUGGGAUAACUUCGGGAAACCGUAGCUAAUACCGGAUAAUAUUUUGAACCGCAUGGUUCAAAAGUGAAAGACGGUCUUGCUGUCACUUAUAGAUGGAUCCGCGCUGCAUUAGCUAGUUGGUAAGGUAACGGCUUACCAAGGCAACGAUGCAUAGCCGACCUGAGAGGGUGAUCGGCCACACUGGAACUGAGACACGGUCCAGACUCCGACGGGAGGCAGCAGUAGGGAAUCUUCCGCAAUGGGCGAAAGCCUGACGGAGCAACGCCGCGUGAGUGAUGAAGGUCUUCGGAUCGUAAAACUCUGUUAUUAGGGAAGAACAUAUGUGUAAGUAACUGUGCACAUCUUGACGGUACCUAACCAGAAAGCCACGGCUAACUACGUG
rnacentral:rRNA from 1 species